UAAGCAUAUCAAUAAGCGGAGGAAAAGAAACCAACAGGGAUUGCCCUAGUAACGGCGAGUGAAGCGGCAACAGCUCAAAUUUGAAAUCUGGCUCUUUCAGAGUCCGAGUUGUAAUUUGCAGAGGGCGCUUUGGCUUUGGCAGCGGUCCAAGUUCCUUGGAACAGGACGUCACAGAGGGUGAGAAUCCCGUACGUGGUCGCUAGCUAUUGCCGUGUAAAGCCCCUUCGACGAGUCGAGUUGUUUGGGAAUGCAGCUCUAAAUGGGAGGUAAAUUUCUUCUAAAGCUAAAUAUUGGCCAGAGACCGAUAGCGCACAAGUAGAGUGAUCGAAAGAUGAAAAGCACUUUGGAAAGAGAGUCAAACAGCACGUGAAAUUGUUGAAAGGGAAGCGCUUGCAGCCAGACUUGCUUGCAGUUGCUCAUCCGGGCUUUUGCCCGGUGCACUCUUCUGCAGGCAGGCCAGCAUCAGUUUGGGCGGUGGGAUAAAGGUCUCUGUCAUGUACCUCUCUUCGGGGAGGCCUUAUAGGGGAGGCGACAUACCACCAGCCUAGACUGAGGUCCGCGCAUCUGCUAGGAUGCUGGCGUAAUGGCUGUAAGCGGCCCGUCUUGAAACACGGACCAAGGAGUCUAACAUCUAUGCGAGUGUUUGGGUGUCAAGCCCGAGCGCGUAAUGAAAGUGAACGGAGGUGGGAACCCGCAAGGGUGCACCAUCGACCGAUCCUGAAGUUUACGGAAGGAUUUGAGUAAGAGCAUGGCUGUUGGGACCCGAAAGAUGGUGAACUAUGCUUGAAUAGGGUGAAGCCAGAGGAAACUCUGGUGGAGGCUCGCAGCGGUUCUGACGUGCAAAUCGAUCGUCAAAUUUGGGCAUAGGGGCGAAAGACUAAU
rnacentral:rRNA from 1 species